GGUCGAGGCCAUCUCCUGGGCCUCCUGGUAGCCAUCGUGGCUAAGCAGGUACUGCUGGGCCGGAAGGUGGUGGUUGUACACUGCGACGGCAUCAACAUUUCUGAGGCCCCCUUACCACUUCCAGGCCCCCAGCAGCAUUUUCUGGCCGACCCUGCGAGGCAUGCUGCCCCACAAGACCAAGCGAGGCCAUGCCACCCUGGACUGCCUCAAGGUGUUUGACAGCAUCACACCACCCUAAGAAAAGAAAAAGUGGAUGGUGGUUCCUGCUGCCCUCAAGGUCGUGUGUCUGAAGCCUACAAAAAAGUUUGCCUAUCUGGGGCACCUGGCUCAUGAGGUUGGCUGGAAGUACCAGGCAGUGACAGCUACCCUGGAGGAGAAGAGGAAGGAGAAAGCCAAGACCCACUACUGGAAGAAGAAACAGCUCACGAGGCUACGGAAACUGGCCGAGAAAAACGUGGAGAAGAAAAUUGACAAAUACACAGAGGUCCUCCAGACCCACGGACUCCUGGUCU
rnacentral:lncRNA from 1 species